rnacentral:rRNA from 1 species
GCUGUGAGGCGUUGAGCUAACCUGUACUAAUUGCCCGUGAGGCUUAACCAUACAACACCCAAAGGGUUUUG